CGGUUAUAGAUGCCCUAACAAAACUUCAUAAGAAGAUAUCGCGAGAAAUAGUUGAGGAUCGAACUCUAUCUCAAAAGAGAAAUCGAUGUUUUACUACCAGUCACAAGCUUUAUGUUCGGCACAGUACUCAUACUGGAACUUACGAGCAAGAAUUGCGGAUAAGGGAAAGCCCGCUAUAUUAUAUAUAGUAAUCACCUGCCAAAAGGAAAGCCUGACCGAUAAUAAUAAUAGGUCUAUGCGCCGAACAAGCAAUGGUAUAUUAGAGAUAGUAAGGAGUUGUAUACACGGGGGUAUGCAUUCAUGUCACGCUUUCUGUGUGAUAAGAGGUUGCUAGCUAGCAAGUAUAGAAACAGGAGAUAUGCGUAGUUAACAGAAGCAAGGGAAUAUGCGUGAGUUGAUUUGAUAGUUUUUUUGAGAAAAAGCAAUUUCAUGAAGUUGGCCUUAGGUGUAAUAGGACUCCCAGUUACUGCGCGCGAUCGUAUACUGAGGUGCUCCCCGUCGGUUGUUGGAACGACGCGAGCCCCAAAAUAAUGUGACUUGGUCCCAAGGUAGAAAGUGAAGAACACUGAACAGAGCUGAAGCUGCAUGAUUAUGAAAUCCCCCAGGGCGCUUCUGAAGCCUCUUUCUAGUCCAAUCCCCCCACAUCGCGUAUAAAGGGAAUCGAACCCAACUCUUCCACUUGCCGCCAAUGCGGAAGGAUGCCACCAAAAAGAAAGGAGACUGAUCUUAACGUUGGCGUCGGUUUUUCCAAGAAAAGUUAGAUUUGAUUUGUCUUUUUCAUGCGGAACAGAACCGUAUUAGUAAGCGGGCCAGUUAACAGAAGCAAGGGAAUAUGCGUGAGUUGAUUUGAUAGUUUUUUUGAGAAAAAGCAAUUUCAUCUCAAGGGAAAGAUCAGAGGAGGAGAAGAAUGAAGGUGUGGGCGGGAAGGAGGAGGCAAGGCCCCCUCAAUGUUUAUUCGACUACUCAUUACGGAACCACCGAUUGAUCCGAUUAGACUUUCCGUGGUAUGUUGAGUUCUUGAAGCAUUGCCGAUAUCGAUAUAUAUUUCUUUGCAUGGGACAGUAGCCUUUUCUGCGGCGGAACAAGCUAAGAAGUGCAGGCGGCUCUUAUUUGAUAAGAUAAGGCAGAUGGUAUGAUCAAAUUCACUCUUGCGCUUUUUUUUGUAUUGAACGCAUGGCGUAGCUAGGACCCCUCCAAUCAUGUUUGAGCCUAUGUUCACCCGGGGUCCAAAAAGGAGAAUUCCGGAAUGCCUGCCGACGUUCAGAUAAAGUGCAUAUCCCUUACUACUAAAGGAAAGGCUCGACGAAGGGGGGGGAUUUUCCGGGUAAGGAAAAUGCUUUCGGAGAUUGAGAUGUCGAUUUGUUUUUCAUCGAAAAGGAAGAAGGCCGAGGGGAUAGCUGCCUUCCUUCGGGCUUUGCCUGCCGACAUUCUAAUAAAGAAUUCCGGCUCGGCCCGGGAAAGCGCUGGCAACAACAUAAAGAAAGGGGUCCAUGUAGCUGCUGCGCCCGCCCACUGAGCAGCAGGUUCGGCAUCUACUACAAAAGAGAGAAUCCACUUCAGAUAACCACGCCUCUGCUAGGCAGCGUGUGGAAUGGCCGGGAGCGGACCAAAUGGAUAUAUAAUCCAAGCCGAGAGUGGAGUUACGUGAACAGCCGUCUGAUGGAAAACAACUUUCGACUAGGAAAAUGAAGACAAAGGAAUUUGGAAUUACAAGACGGAUAUCAGCUUGCUACUUCUGACUUUGACUUUCAAUAGGGAGGUCAAAAACUAGCACUUUUUUCGAGGAGUGAUCAUGGUUGAUGUCUACUUGCCGGGCUGCCCACCUAAACCGGAGGCGGUUAUAGAUGCCCUAACAAAACUUCAUAAGAAGAUAUCGCGAGAAAUAGUUGAGGAUCGAACUCUAUCUCAAAAGAGAAAUCGAUGUUUUACUACUAGUCACAAGCUUUAUGUUCGGCGCAGUACUCAUACUGGAACUUACGAGCAAGAAUUGCUCUAUCAAUCACCAUCUACUUUAGACAUAUCUUCUUCAACUUUUUGAAAAUCCAAAAGUCCAGUAUCUUCCUACAAAUUAGUGAAUUUGCAGCAUUCUGAAUUCAUAAUUCGAACUGAUCAGCACAGUCUCGUGCAUUUAGAAGAUCAACGACUACACCUUGGCAGCAGAAGGCCUUCACUAAGUUUCUUGGACUUCAAUACCGACGCAAGGGAGCCAAGAAUGGAGCAGCUGAUGCUUUGUCCCGACGCAGCCAUAGAGUCGAUCUUGCAGAUAGGCGGAGGUAUGAUUGCUUGCUCCUUGCAUGUGAAGGUGGGAAACAAGGAAACAGCAGAAAUGCUUACUGGGACAUAGCCUUCGGUACGAGUUGAAGGGAAGAGGAUUGCUUGGAACCUCUAAGACAUGGCACCCCUGCCCCUUCCCGGCUACUGGAUCACUCCAGUGCUUCGGGUACUACGGACCCUCUGCCAUCCAUUGCAGCAGAGCCGUUUCAUGAGCGGGGGGGCUAAGCGCAGUUCUUUGAAUCAAAGGUUUUAUGAAAUCGAAAUUGAUUCUUUUUUAGAUAUCUGGAUAGAUGGAUGGGGCCUGGGAGUGAAUGUGGAAGCUUAACACUAGCAACGGGCAGAACAGUUGGUAAAGGAGAUCAUUGGCACUAUGGCGCAUGUAUGUUGAGUUCUUGAAGCAUUGCCGAUAUCGAUAUAUAUUUCUUUGCAUGGGACAGUAGCCUUUUCUGCGGCGGAUCGUUUCCUUUUCUCCAAUCAUAAAUAACCUGAUCUCUUUCUUUGUCUUUCAUCAAAUAAGUACAAGAAUUGCAUAGAUGAGGAUUCGGUAUUGAUCGCUAAAAUGCGAGAAAAAGACCCACGUUUCUCUGUUCGUCCGCUAUCA
rnacentral:lncRNA from 1 species